rnacentral:sRNA from 1 species
UGAUAGAUUGACAUCAUUCCGGGGCGCUUUCAUUCACUUGUCACUUGCACACAGUUUCAGUUUCACAUUCAGUUUCGGUUUCAGUUUGGGAAACAUUAGUUUUUUAUGGUCGCCACUCGGAGCAGAAUCAUCAGAGCCAUUGACGGACGUCCCGGCACAAUAAACUGACAAAUCAAAAUCAAAAACAAACCAAAUUAGCCAGUCGUAAAAGCAGAAUGGCAACUGUUGAUAGAUCAUUCGAAAUAAAAACAGCGCGCUCCGCAGUCCGCAAGUUUCAGUUUUUAGCGCUGCGCCUUGUGUGGGGCAAUUAAUAGUACUGGCGCGGCAGUUGUCUGGCCGUCGCUCGCUUCGACGGAUUAACGGGGUAUUAAUGUUGUUUGAUGGGCUUUUCGCUUUUAUUUGCCUUGCUAUCAAUUAGCUGAAGAACUCCAGCUCCAGCUCAAGACAAAGCGCCAGAUAAAAGGGAACCAGAACACUCACUGGCUUCAUUGGCGCACUGCCUAUGAGUAAUGCCCUCCCCCAGACCGAUUACCAGCUGCCGAACCGUUUAAGUCACUUUCUUUGAUGCCCGGCCUCAUCAUAAUUCCGGCAAGUCGCUCGCCCAGACGCACAACCCACAUAAAUCCAGAGGUCGCACCCGCAACUCCAGUUGUUGUCCUCCUGAAUUAUGCAUGCAACAAAUUGUAUAAAAAUUUCUGCAACUUUACGUUGCGACGUGAAGAAAUUUGGGAAUCAAGCCGAGCGCAAAAGACCCUCUGAAGUUAGAGGCAUACUUCUCGGGGGUGGUGGAGCAGGAGGGCGGAUGAAAGGACCAAAGCACUAACAGGACUCCCUGUCCCUGGUCGCUGGUAUUUGGGCUUAGCCCAAGUCAACCCCCAAAGGAUGUGCGGGAAUAUUUAUUUUUGUUUUCCCAGUCCCAGCUCCCAGACGGUCUCUCAACGUUUACAAAGUGAUUACUUCUGUUUAAAAAUUGAUGUCUCGAUGUUGGACACGUUUUCAAUUUGCAGCGAAAUGGCGCGUGCUCUUCUCAGGUGCCGGAUCCAUUUCCCGAUCAUUGCGAGGGAAAACGAAACCGAAACCUAAACCGAUAACGAAAACGAAAAGGAAAAGGAAAACAAGUUUAAGUGCGUCAAAAUUGUCAAAAGAAAUUCCUUAAAUGACUUUGUCAAGUCGUUAAAUUGGUGUCGCUUUUUUGUCUCGUUUGGCUUUAAUCACCGCAUUGGCUGUCAUGUCCGAGCUGAAUGGCAAUUAAAUGGUCUACGAAUCGUUAAA